rnacentral:lncRNA from 1 species
GGCAGAUAGCCCUCCGGUGAAUUGGUGCAUAUGGUCCUUGCGGUACUUAGGUGCAAUCCGGUGAAUAAUGUCCUGCCGGUGAAGACAGACAUGUAAUGUGUCUUUCUGUGAUCGUGCCCCUUCGAUAGAUAUUGUGGCGGUUAUCUCACCAGAACCCAAUAAGAUACCGUGUUAUUUUGGAUCAUACAUGUGGUAUGGUAGCUUCUUUCUCGGAACUCAGAGAGUCACCUUAUGAUUAUUGGAUGCUGCCGGACUGAUGGUUAAGAUUUCAAGAGUCACAACUCUUGACUUUUGAGAUUAAAGGGCAUUUUAUCUCUCUAUUUAUUGGGACUUCUUUCCUCUUAUUUUUACAUACAUAAAGCAUACAAAUUUUCUCAACUGUUUUUCUACUAAAAACGG